GAAUGAAGAACGCAGCGAAAUGCGAUACGUAGUGUGAAUUGCAGAAUUCAGUGAAUCAUCGAAUCUUUGAACGCACAUUGCACCUCUCGGUAUUCCGGGAGGUAUGCCUGUUCGAGCGUCAUUUGUACCCUCAAGCUCUGCUUGGUGUUGGGUGUUUGUUCCGCCUCUGUGUGUGAACUCGCCUCAAAACAAUUGGCAGCCGGCGUACUUGUUUCGGAGCGCAGCACAUUUUGCGAUCCAGAUCAACGUACAGCGGCAUCCAAGAAGCCUUAUUUAACGCUCUUGACCUCGGAUCAGGUAGGGAUACCCGCUGAACUUAAGCAUAUCAAUAAGCGGAGGA
rnacentral:misc_RNA from 1 species